AACGAACGCUGGCGGCAUGCUUUACACAUGCAAGUCGAACGGUAACAGGGAGCUUGCUCCGCUGACGAGUGGCGAACGGGUGAGUAAUGCGUCGGAACGUGCCGAGUAGUGGGGGAUGACGCAGCGAAAGUUGUGCUAAUACCGCAUACGUACUGAGGUAGAAAGUGGGGGACCUUCGGGCCUCACGCUAUUCGAGCGGCCGACGUCUGAUUAGCUAGUAGGUGAGGUAAAGGCUCACCUAGGCGACGAUCAGUAGCGGGUCUGAGAGGAUGAGCCGCCAGACUGGGACUGAGACACGGCCCAGACUCCUACGGGAGGCAGCAGUGGGGAAUUUUGGACAAUGGGCGAAAGCCUGAUCCAGCCAUGCCGCGUGUCUGAAGAAGGCCUUCGGGUUGUAAAGGACUUUUGUCGGGGAGGAAAUCCCCAGCGCUAAUACCGCUGGGGGAUGACAGUACCUGAAGAAUAAGCACCGGCUAACUACGUGCCAGCCGCCGCCGUAACAC
rnacentral:rRNA from 1 species